CUUCGGCAAAAUCGCAGAGUAUCGUCAACUUUCAGGUGGAUAGGAAUUUAAAAUUAAUUCCACUUUCAUAUAUUUUUAUUUAUUUAUGUGUUAGAGUAAAAAUCAAGGGGUGGGACCCUCCAUCGGGGGCAGAUCUAUUUUGACUUCCAGGGAGAACUGCCUGGGUGUAAGAAACAUUGUCAGUUUGAGUAGAUUCCUCCCACAUCCCUUCUUACUGCUAAAAUCUGGGGUGUCACCUGGGCAAAGAGAAUAGUGGUAUGCAUCAAAUCUCAGUAAAAAUUUAAUUUCCCAAGGAAUGUUAGAAACCAUGCUUACGUUAAGGCAACCCACAGCACAGAGUUAGCCUCCUGCUGAGAGGCCAGGUCUGCAGAUCCACCUGAAAGCCACAUGGCAGUCAAAACUUUGCAUCCUAUUUUAUCUGUCUUUUUUCAUGAACAUGAUGGAGCAUACAUAAGAAAUUAUGUGAAGAGAGGGUAAAUAUUAUAUAAAAGUAUACUGCGGUAUUGUUAGUAGUGUGGUAUUUGUACUGGGAAACACAGAUCAAAUCUGCUCUUUGGUUAAAUUGCUCGCUGGACCUCUUCCUCCCUUGACUGUGGAAGGAGGUGGAAGUGACUGUCUCCUUUUGUUUCUCAGCUGUCUGCUUCAAGAUGUGAGUCCAGAUGUCUACCAGGAAACAGAUGUAUAAACUACAAAAAAGAUACAUCAGCUACAUUAUUCGCAGGCAACGCUGAAACAGGGCUGACAGAAAACCUUGAAGGUGGUAGAAGCUACACAAAAGAUCAUCUUGGUAUUUUUUUAUUUUCUCCCAGUAAUAAUGACAGACAAAUGAUGAAUCCCUGUACCUACUGCUCUGUGGAAUUCUAAAACCUUUUGCUGAGAAUAUGUUUGAGAAAAUGUGACUAUUUUAAAGCUGAUCCUGAGAUUUUGUAGGUACCUCAGGAGCUCCUUAUACAAAAUCAAAUCCUUAGAAGGGAUUUGUCCAGGAAUAAAAAGAAAGGUGAUAACCUGUUUAUAAACA
rnacentral:lncRNA from 1 species